rnacentral:rRNA from 1 species
UUUAUUGGAGAGUUUGAUCCUGGCUCAGGAUGAACGCUGGCGGCGUGCCUAAUACAUGCAAGUCGAGCGAAUGGAUUGAGAGCUUGCUCUCAAGAAGUUAGCGGCGGACGGGUGAGUAACACGUGGGUAAC